rnacentral:rRNA from 1 species
AUUGAACGCUAGCGGGAUGCUUUACACAUGCAAGUCGAACGGCAGCGCGGACUUCGGUCUGGCGGCGAGUGGCGAACGGGCGAGUAAUGUAUCGGAACGUGCCCAGUAGCGGGGGAUAACUACGCGUAAGCGUAGCUAAUACCGCAUACGCCCUACGUGGGAAAGCAGGGGAUCGUAAGACCUUGCACUAUUGGAGCGGCCGAGAUCGGAUUAGCUAGUUGGUGAGGUAACGGCUCACCAAGGCGACGAUCCGUAGCUGGUUUGAGAGGACGACCAGCCACACUGGAACUGAGACACGGCCCAGACUCCUACGGGAGGCAGCAGUAGGGAAUUUUGGACAAUGGGGGCAACCCUGAUCCAGCCAUCCCGCGUGUGCGAUGAAGGCCUUCGGGUUGUAAAGCACUUUUGGCAGGAAAGAAACGUCGCGGGCUAAUACCCCGUGGAACUGACGGUACCUGCAGAAUAAGCACCGGCUAACUACGUG